ACGAACGCUGGCGGCAUGCCUAACACAUACAAGUCGAACGAGACCUUCGGGUCUAGUGGCGCACGGGUGCGUAACGCGUGGGAAUCUGCCCUUGGGUUCGGAAUAACAGUUGGAAACGACUGCUAAUACCGGAUGAUGACGUAAGUCCAAAGAUUUAUCGCCCAAGGAUGAGCCCGCGUAGGAUUAGCUAGUUGGUGAGGUAAAGGCUCACCAAGGCGACGAUCCUUAGCUGGUCUGAGAGGAUGAUCAGCCACACUGGGACUGAGACACGGCCCAGACUCCUACGGGAGGCAGCAGUGGGGAAUAUUGGACAAUGGGCGAAAGCCUGAUCCAGCAAUGCCGCGUGAGUGAUGAAGGCCUUAGGGUUGUAAAGCUCUUUUACCCGGGAUGAUAAUGACAGUACCGGGAGAAUAAGCUCCGGCUAACUCCGUG
rnacentral:rRNA from 1 species